rnacentral:rRNA from 1 species
GAUGAACGCUGGCGGCGUGCCUAAUACAUGCAAGUCGAGCGAACAGACGAGGAGCUUGCUCCUCUGACGUUAGCGGCGGACGGGUGAGUAACACGUGGAUAACCUACCUAUAAGACUGGGAUAACUUCGGGAAACCGGAGCUAAUACCGGAUAAUAUAUUGAACCGCAUGGUUCAAUAGUGAAAGACGGUUUUGCUGUCACUUAUAGAUGGAUCCGCGCCGCAUUAGCUAGUUGGUAAGGUAACGGCUUACCAAGGCGACGAUGCGUAGCCGACCUGAGAGGGUGAUCGGCCACACUGGAACAGAGACACGGUCCAGACUCCUACGGGAGGCAGCAGUAGGGAAUCUUCCGCAAUGGGCGAAAGCCUGACGGAGCAACGCCGCGUGAGUGAUAAAGGUCUUCGGAUCUUAAAACUCUGUUAUUAGGGAAGAACAAAUGUGUAAGUAACUAUGCACGUCUUGACGGUACCUAAUCAGAAAGCCACGGCUAACUACGUG